ensembl:lncRNA
AUGGGCUUUACUCUGGGUUGGCCCUUUGUGAAGCAGAUGUGUGAUUCGAUGGGCUUUGACAGGCCUGCCAGGCCAAAAAAAUAUCUCGCCAGACCCAACAUUCCCACUCUGAGCUUUUUCUGUUGGUUAACACAUUAUUUCCAGAAAGCUCUGUCAAAAUGGAGAAGCGUUACUGGAGAACUACAGCACAAGAAGCAAACAGCAGAGAAAAAGGCAGGUAGUGUCAAAGAACACAAGAUUGGCAGCAGAGGUCUGGCUUCUACCCAUAAGAUUCUGGUUUCCUGUGCUUCAAACUUGGUUUCUCCUUCAUCCUGGAUACUUCCAGAGCCGGGGACCACUCAUAUGAUAAUGCCAGGGAAUUAGAACUUAAUUUGGAGAAAGUUAGCCAACUGGUGUCAAGAUGAAAGACGACAAAAGACACAGAGAGAAGACACCAAGAGGUAAACCAAGUCAUGGUAAUGGGUGAGAUCCAGGGAAUGAUCCAUGAACUCCUCUGAUGGUAAGAAAUGGUGGAGCCAAAACAUCUUUGGAUUCUGAAAGGCCUGUUUGUUCCUGUGUCCAUAAAUCUCAUUAUCUUCUCAUGGUGCCAGGCUAAACAGUUGUGAUUCCUGCUUUUUUAUUUCCCUGUGCUCUCUUUUCAUAAGCCUUUCAUUUCUCAACUUAACUGAACAAACUCUGUUCUAAAACAAAAGGCUAAGUAAAUAUCUACCCUGGAAGUUAUGGUGAUUUGGGAUAGGGGGAGAAAAGAGUAAUUAGAGGAAAUAAUGAAGAAAGUGAAUUUAAAGUUGACACCACAUAUGGCAUUGUGUCAUUGAGUGAGUUUUGGUUUUUGUUUUUGGGAAGACAUAGUAGGUAUAUAUACUUAUGGGGGAUUUAAGAUUUUUUUGAUGCAGACAUACAGUAUGUAAUAAUCCCAUAAGGGUAAGUUUUUUGGGGUUCAAUAAGAAGAACAAGGGUAUAAGAAUUUAUUUAGUGCCUACUAUGUGUUGGGCACUUCACAUAGUUUAUUGCAUUUAAUUUAGUCUUCUUAACAAGAUUAUGACGUACAUAGACUGUCUCAUUCACAUGAAAAAGCUUCAUAGAGAUUGAACAACUUGACCUUGGCUCUCCAUGGAAGGAGUUUCAGUUGCAGUUGGUAUCACUGCAAAUAUAUUAGACCCUAAUGCUUCUUAUUGCAUAUGGGAAUUGAGUGACUCUGGACACUGACAGGCUCUGGCACUGGUUAAAAUAUCCUUUUGGAACUUGGGACACAUAUAGUGGAUAGCAGAGUUCCUGGUCCAUCUGCUCACUGCCAGGACAUUUUGCUUUCACUCUUCUCUGUCUCUUUCCAUAUAUUACUGACCCUGGGCCCACUUGUCAUGCAGUUACUUUCUUUUAAAUUUUCAGGAUAAUUUCACAAAUAAAGUUGAUAUGGUUUGGCCGUGCCCCCCCCAAUCUCAUCUUGAAUUGUAACCCCCAUAAUUCCCACAUGUCGAGGGAGGGACCCAGUGGGAGGUGAUUGGGUCAUGGGGGCGGUUUCCCCUAUGCUAGUCUUGUGAUUGUGAGUGAGUUCUCAAAAGAUCUGAUGGUUUUAUAAGGCAGUUUUCCCUUCUCUUGCUAGUUCUCUCUUUCCUGCCACCACAUGAAGAUAGACUUUGCUUCCCGUUUACCUUCCGCCAUGACUGUAGGCUUCUUGAGGCAUCUCCAGCCAUAUGGAACUGUGAGUCAAUCAAACCUGUUUUCUUUUUAAAUUACCCAGUCUUUGACAGGUCUUUACAGCAAAAUGAAAAUGGAGUAAUACAAAAUUGAUAGUUGGUUGACAAAGAAAUGUAGGCUCAGAAAAUGAAGCAACUUGCCCAAAGCCACACAGUGGGAUUCUGCCAGAUUCACGGCAAGAAUACCAGGAAAUGAAGGGGAAGGUAGAAGGAGGUUCCCAGAAGAGUAACAGGCUUAACAGGCAUACGGACUUGGGAGAGAAUAGGGACAUCUAAACCUGGUUGCCCAUUAGCUGACUGUGUGUCUCAUAAGCUGUUCUCUGUCCUUCUUUAGGCCCCUGUUACCCCUUUCACCAUAUAGAACUUGUUGCAGUAACAGGCACAAAAUGGAGUCACUUACUAUGUGCCUUGGCACUCACUGUGGUCUGAAGCUACAGGUCUCCUUUCCUCUCUCUACUCCUUCUCACCACCCUGUAUCUGGCUUUAUCAGACUCAUGAUUCAGGUAUAACUCAGCAGCUGCCUCCUCCAGUCACCUGGUCCCCAAAUCUGGGUAAAAUUUCCCUCUUAGGUGCUUCUCUAGCGUCCUGCAUCUCCCUCAUCUCAUUUAUUGUAAUACCCUAUUAGUUUAUUUCUGUUGCUGUUACCAGGCAGCCAACAAAGACCCCUUUUGUCCUAUAUGCC